UCCCUAGUGAUCCAGUGGUUAAGACUCUGCACUUUCAAAGCAGAGGUUGCAGGUUCGAUUCUUGGCCAGGGAA
rnacentral:tRNA from 1 species